rnacentral:lncRNA from 1 species
CCCCCUCCCCCUCUUCUCCCCCAGCACCUGAGGCUUCCUCAGGACCAAGACACGAGCGGAGGGGAUGGAGAGGAGGGAUGCGUCGACUGCACCAAGGGUUUGCCGGGUGUGCCUGGAAUGGCAGGCACCAAGGAAGAGAAAGUAGAUGAGGGCAAGCCCGGCUUAGGCCAGGACGGCUGUGAAAAGUGUUUCUUAAACCAUCGACUUCAGAGGGAGGAGGCUGCACAGAUGCCUGUAAGACACGCACACAUACACACACACGCACACAUACACGCACACACAUACACACACACACAUGCACGCGCAUACACACAUACACGCAACCACACACACGCGCGCACGCACACACACACACAUGCACACACGCACACAUACGCACACAUAGACACACACACGCACGCACAUACACACACACACACACGCACGCACAUACACACACACAUGCACGCACGCCCACACACACAACCACCCAACCACACACACACGCACAUACACGCACACACAGACACACACAAACACACACACAUACACACAACCACACAUGCACACACACACACAUACACACAACCACACACACGUGCACACAUACACACACACUGAUCCAUUCCUUGUUAUACGUAUGUAGUCUGUCACUACCACUAAUGGAGGCUGCGGACCAGGAAUUCCAGGACACCCGGGACAACAAGGACCCCCUGGAAUAAGGGGGGAGCCAGUAAGUGUGUUGUGUGUGUGUGUGUGUGUCUGUGUGUGUGUGUGUGUGCCUGCAUUGGUUAUUAAAUAUUCAUGCUAUGUGUUUUGGUAUAAUGAAAUUCUUACAAGAAGUGCCUUUUUGUCUAAAUUUCCUAGGGCCCCAUGGGGCAAAGGGGACAAGCUGGCAUCCCAGGAAAUAUGGUGAGUUCAACUACAAGAGGGUAUAAGAUAUUAUAACACUUCAUGUAGGUUUUGUGUACCCAUUA